CCUACGGGUGGCAGCAGUGAGGAAUAUUGGUCAAUGGGCGCGAGCCUGAACCAGCCAAGUAGCGUGAAGGAUGACUGCCUUACGGGUUGUACACUUCUUUUAUAAAGGAAUAAAGUGAGUCACGUGUGCCUUUUUGUAUGUACUUUACGAAUAAGGAUCGGCUAACCCCGUUCCAGCAGCCGCGGUAAUACGGAGGAUCCGAGCGUUAUCCGGAUUUAUUGGGUGUAAAGGGAGCGUAGAUGGGUGGUUAAGUCAGUUGUGAAAGUUUGUGGCUCAACUGUGAAAUUGCAAUGGAAACUGGCUGUCUGGAGAGGUCGAGGGGUAGGCGGAAUGCGCGGUGUAGCGGUGAAAUGCUUAGAUAUUGCGAAGAACUCCGAUUGCGAAGGCAGCAUACCGGAGUCAAUCUGACGCUGAGGCACGAAAGCGUGGGUAGCAAACAGGAUUAGAUACCCCAGUAGUC
rnacentral:rRNA from 1 species